GUCUUGCUGGUCUAGUGGUAUGAUUCUCGCUUUGGGUGCGAGAGGUCACGGGUUCGAUUCCCGUGCAAGCCC
rnacentral:tRNA from 1 species